rnacentral:rRNA from 1 species
AACGCGAAGAACCUUACCCAGGCUUGAACAGCGAGUGACCACUCAUGAAAGUGAGCUUCCGCAAGGACACUCGUAGAGGUGCUGCAUGGCUGUCGUCAGCUCGUGUCGUGAGAUGUUGGGUUAAGUCCCGCAACGAGCGCAACCCUUGUUUGCUGUUGCCAUCAGGUUAUGCUGGGCACUCUGCAAAGACCGCCGGUGAUAAACCGGAGGAAGGUGGGGAUGACGUCAAGUCAGCAUGGCCUUUAUGUCUGGGGCUACACACGUGCUACAAUGGCCGGUACAAACCGUCGCGAGCCCGCGAGGGGGAGCUAAUCGGAGAAAGCCGGUCUCAGUUCGGAUAGACAAGGCUGCAACUCGCCUGCAAUGAAGUUGGAAUCGCUAGUAAUCGCGGAUCAGCACGCCUGCGGUGAAUACGUUCCGGCGGGUCUGUACACACCG